rnacentral:lncRNA from 1 species
UCGGCCCCCUCUCAUCUCCACAAACAAGGUCAGAAACAAGAACAAAAACAAACAGAGAUAUCGAUCCAUUUUUAUGGAAGGAAUUUGUGAUUUUUGCCAAGGACAGAAAUCUCUGGGAUAGGAAAGAAAGAGGAAAGGGAGAUACAAAUAUCGCGAGGAGAUUAGCCUGAAAAUUUAUAGAGAAGAAUUGUAGGAAGGAGGAUUACUGCGGUGGUACAUUUUACUAAUAGAUUUUCACUUUAUAACAAUGUCCUUUCACCCUGUAUCACAUGUAUAUGUUUAUUUUGUCUCUUUCAAAAUGUAAGUAUUCCAUUUAAUUUAUACAUAUGUAAGUCACAUUACCUACUCUAAAAUUUAAUAAUACUUCAUUUAUUAUAAUUUAAAUCUAAAUGGACCAUCCUCCUUAAUUUAUUUUGUAUGUUUUUUAAAAAUCAAAUUUUGAGUUAAAGUAGGCAUUUGAUUAGAAGAAAUAAAACUUAAUAUACAAAUAAUAAAAAACUAUAUAAAACAUAUAGAAGUUUAAAUUAUUGGAAAAAUGGUAACUUAGCAUGAUACCGUACAUAAUUCAUUAUUUGUACAAGGUUAAUUUGGUAUACAUUAUGGCCAUGUCGAGGAAAGUUGCUAAUUCAGUAGUAAGAUCCUUUUUUAUAAAAAAAAAAAAAUUAAUUUCAAAUAUAGUGAUUCUUGAUUUUCAUUUUCAUUAUGCUAAUUCAGAAGCCUCUAAUGAUUGAACCUGAUCAUGAACAGAGGGUGGGUAUGCGUUUCUUCAAUGUGAAGUUAUCCACACAGAGAAAAAUCAAAGUAGUUGACUAUAACAGUCAAUAAGGCUCAUUUCACACUCUUUCACCUUGCAGGAAAAUUGGGACCGCAAGCCUGUUGGGGGAUAAUUUGAUAUCUCUCUCUUAAAUUAAACAUAAAACUGAAGAGUUCCAACUCCGUAUCUCUCUCAAAUGUUAUGAUGUUUAGAGAAGCAAAACUUGUGGCGUUAGCGCUCUUCCACACUUUCUUGCUUGCAAUUUGUGCUGUUAAUGGAAACCAGACUUGCAAACCCUCUUCUUGUGGAGAGAUUCAAAACAUCAGCAACCCUUUCCGAUUGAAAGGUGAUCCAUCUGGGUGUGGUUAUCCUGAUUAUGAAUUGGUCUGCGAAAACAAUCGUACUAUGGUAAACCUGGACCAUGGGAAAUUCUAUGUUGCUGAUAUCAACUACGAUCACUAUACCAUUCGGGUAGUGGAUCCUGGGGUCGAAAACGGCAACUGUCUCUCAACUCCUCUGUAUUCCUUGUCAUAUUACAGCUUGGGUUCAUAUGAUACAAAUUGGGAGGAAGUGACCAAUACAACGGUUUUGAUGAACUGCGAGCAGCCAAUAAGUGAUGGCAACUAUAUUCCUAUCACUCCUUGCAACAGAAGCAAUGUGACUUCAUCUUCCUCACAAGCAUAUGUUUAUGCACUAGUCGGAGAUUUAUACAUGGAGGUGGGAGAGAUUAAGUAUUCAUGCACCAUCCUCAGGACUAUUGCUACUCGAUUCUUGAAGCACGGCAAUCUUUCAAUGUCAGAUUUGCAAGAAGUGCUGCUUCUGGGGCUUGAUCUUUCAUUUUUUGGCCGCUGCAAAAGCGAAUGCGAGGUGAAAGGGCUAAACUGCUUGCUGGAUUAUAGCAAUUAUACCGUACAGUGCACCAAACGUAUGAGCAAUGUUUAUUUUUAUCCAUUCAUGCAUUUAUUUUGCUUGCAAGCAUAAGUCCCUUCAACAUUUUAUAACUAAUAAUAUUUGCUUAAUUGGUUUGAUCUUGCAGCUCGGAACUUUCUGAAAUGGUUCUCUCUCUAUAUCAGUGAGACUUUGGGAGUUUACUUUUAUUAUCUUUCAUGUUCAUUUUUACUUCUAUUAUCUUUCUCAUGUUAAAUUCAAUUUAUGUUGUUUUUCUGUUAACAGGAUCUAUAUUAGGUGUGGACCGUUUUAUCGAAUGUAAGGCUUAUUAGUUCCAUUUGUUGUAGAAGAAAGAUAGAGAUUUUUUUUUUUUUUUUUUUUUCAUUCCAUUAAUUUCAACAUGGUACCUGUGGGCUGCUUAAUAUCAUUGUCUAGUUGGCAGUCACAUAGAGCAAAAUGCAAAAGCUUCUUCUACUUUUACCAUUGACCAUAUUUACUGAAUUUCAACCUGCAGACUUCGGAUAUCUUUCGGAUGGAGGCGUAACAACUUUACUUGGUAAGGCUUUGAGAAGUUCUUUAUAAUAAUAAUAAUAAAUUAUUAAUUUGAUGAUAAAAUGAAAUGAUAAUUUAUUUUGAGAUUUUUUUUUUUUUUUUUUUUCAUUCCAUUAAUUUCAACAUGGUACCUGUGGGCUGCUUAAUAUCAUUGUCUAGUUGGCAGUCACAUAGAGCAAAAUGCAAAAGCUUCUUCUACUUUUACCAUUGACCAUAUUUACUGAAUUUCAACCUGCAGACUUUGGAUAUCUUUCGUAUGGAGACAUAAUUGGUAAGGCUUUGAGAAGUUCUUUAUAAUAAUAAUAAAAAAUUAUUAAUUUGAUGAUAAAAUGAAAUGAUAAUUUAUUUUUGGAGUUCACGAUAAAUGAAUAAAAUAAAGAACUGUUAUUAUAAAUUACACAUUCAAUCCCACAAUAGUCAGUAUGUGGUAUGUGCUUAAUUUUAUUUUUAAUUUAAAUAUAUAUAAUAAAUUUCUAAAAAUUUUAAAAAUAUUAUAAGACAUUUAAAUUAAUCAAUAGUAUAAUAAAUGAUUGGAUUUUUCGUCCACUUAACUAAUAAUAACUAUGAUGAUGAUUAUUAUUAUUAAUAUUACCCUUUCUCUUCUAUCCUAUCCAUCUCUUCCUAAUUUUUAAUCAAAACCAAUAGCAGUAAUAAUAUUUCUCUUCUAUUUGUUUCCUGCUCAUUUUAAAUCUAUCAUAUGUAUGAAUCUUUCUUUUCUUGAACUUAAUAAUUUUUGUUCCUCUCAUAUUUGCAGCUGGGGCAAUCUUGAUAUUUCAACUCAUGGGUAAGGCUUCCAGAUCUCAAUAAGUCUAUAAUUGCACACGUCUUAUACCUCUUUUUGCCUGGCACUUUUGGAAUCCUUUCAUUCAAGAUAAAAGCCGACAAUCAAGUUUGGCAAUGCAUUUGGUUGUACAAAAUGAAUCAUAAAUUGAAAUUCCAAUUUGUGAAAUUCAGAAAUUUUCUUUCAAAUAAAAUUAUUAUUAUUUUUAAAAAAAUUUGUGAUGUAUUUGAUUUCAAAUUAUUCCCAGAUUUGUUAGAGUACAAGGAAAUUGAAGAAUAGAGUUGGAAUUUGGCAUCUAAUUUCAUUCCUUAAUUUUGUACAACAAAACAAAUUUUCUCAAUUGAUUAUUCCAUCCUUUAUGUAUAUCAUGCUGUCACCCAAAAGAAAAAGAGUCACAUGACCAUGUUUGAGUGGAAAUCCAAAACCUAAGAUAUAGGUGAAAUGACCUUUUCAAAACUAAUUUUAUUUGUUGCAUUUGAUGAUUGAAUGUGGUUAGAUGAUUAUAAAUCUUCCUCUGACGUUUUUCAUAUCUUUAACAUGUGAUUUAUAUGUAGUCAUGAUCAUCAUCGGACGGGCUGUGAUUGGUAUUUUGUGCCUCUUUGCCUAUUUAAUUUACAAGUUUCGACGGAGACACUUAUCAUUAGAUGAUGAUAUUGAAGAAUUCCUACAUAACUACCAAAAUCUUCGACCAAUCAAAUACACAUAUUCAGACAUAAAGAAGAUGACUUAUAAUUUUAAGCAUAAAUUGGGUCAAGGAGGUUUUGGCUCUGUGUACAAAGGAAAACUACGAAGUGGCCGCAUUGUAGCUGUAAAAAUGUUGGUUAUGUCAAAGGCUAAUGGGCAAGAUUUUAUCAAUGAAGUUGCUACAAUUGGAAGAAUUCAUCAUGUUAAUGUGGUGAGACUUGUUGGAUUUUGCAUACAAAGAUCAAAAUGGGCCCUUAUAUAUGACUACAUGCCCAAUGGAUCUCUUGAUAAGUUUGUUUUUCUUGAUCAAGAAAACAACAUUCCUUUGAGUUGGGAAAGAUUAUACAAGAUUGCACUUGGAGUAGGACGUGGGAUCGAAUACUUACAUCAAGGGUGUGAUAUGCAAAUUCUUCAUUUUGAUAUCAAGCCACACAACAUUCUUCUCGAUGAAGACUUCACACCAAAAGUUUCAGAUUUCGGUCUUGCAAAAUUAUACUCAACAGAUGAAAGUAUUGUAUCAGUCACUGCUGCUAGAGGAACCUUGGGCUACAUUGCUNNNNNNNNNNNNNNNNNNNNNNNNNNNNNNNNNNNNNNNNNNNNNNNNNNNNNNNNNNNNNNNNNNNNNNNNNNNNNNNNNNNNNNNNNNNNNNNNNNNNAAAAUAAUUAUUAGGGUUGUAGAUGUUCAAGUAAGUUAUUUUGUAUAACUUGUGCUAGUAGUAAUCUGGGCUUUCAAGGAACAAUAGUGCCAAUUACAACAUUUCUUUUGUAAGUAAUUCCAUAUAGUUUUCGUUAGAGAAGUGUCCUUGGGCCCUCUAAAGGUUACAAUUACAUUCUUGGACAUUGGAUUGCACCAUUCCAUAUAUGGUUCUUCAAAUUAGUGGACACUUUGAUUUCUCCAUUCAUAGAUUUCUACUCCUUGUUGAAAUUUAAUUAGGACUUUGAUCUUACCCUUCACACUUUAAAUCAGGCUCUCAAAUCAAAAGUUGCAUUUUAAUAGAGAAAGAAUUAACAAAGAAGGAACAAUUUGAGAGCUCAAACCUUUCCUUGGUAUAUGUCUAUUACUAUAAUUCAUUAUGAGCAUAAAAUUGUAAGAGUAAAUAAAUAUUCAAAAUUUUAAAAUGGUCUCCUACAACUCACACCCUUUCAAUAAUUUCUGUGGACCAUUGUACAUGUGGUCAAUUUUGAUGCUUUAUUUAUUGAAUAUGACUUUUCAAAUAAAACCAUCGAGUCAAUUUUCUUGACACUAAAAGUAAGUUGGUCCUUAUAUUUAAAGGACUAUUUCUUUUAUCUUUAGAAAUGUGAAAUGUGCUAGAUGUGAUAGGACCAUAAUACUACAUGAAUUAUGCUGAUAAUACCAUACAUUUUAUUCCAGUACGUAUCUAUGAGUAAUGUCUAUUUUAAUUUAUUUAUGAAUAUAUUUUGCUUGCUAGAUUUCCGAAGCUUCACUCCCAUUAAAUAUAGAAUAUGGGGAAUCUAGAUUUUCCAUGAAUUGGUCAAAACCUGUGUGUGGAAAUUGUGAAGCAGAAGGUGAGAAAUGCAGGCUGAAGAUGAGUAAUGGCAUGUAAUCUGAAAUUGAGUGCAUAAAGAAGCCAGAAAAAGGUACGUGCUACACAAUAUUAGCCCAUGCCAUAUUCCUUUGCACCCUGAUAUGGAAACGAAAAAUUUGACAUAAUUUCAUUUUAUCUAUUCGUAUCUUAAUAUGGAAACAUCAAAGACCCCCCCCCCCCCAAAAAAAAAAGCCCUGUGGGAACCAUGGCAAUGAACACAAAGUCAUAGGCUUCAGUCCAAGAACACCACCUAAAAUUAAUCUGUAUGGCAUCAUCACGUGAUAGAUUAUGAUUUAUUAAUUUCAAAAGCAUAACCAGCUACUAAGUUUAUUGUUAUCUCUUACAGGUGCAUAAAAGAAAAACUAACAAUUACUGGUGAUUUUCUAUUCACACACAUAUAUAUGGAUUUGCAUUUGAGAUCAACUUUAGUUGUGUCAGUUCUUUGAAGAAAAAAAAAACUUUCAUCAUGCCUUGAAGUGAAAUUUCCAUCCUCAAUCCCCAUUAAAUAACAUAUAAUUGUCUUAUGUGGAGAGUGUAAAAGCCUACUAAAUUGGUUCAAUCUAUUUAGUAGCACCAAAAUAUCAAAGCAAAACCCUAUAAUAUGCCUCUUCCAACAAUUUAAUAAUUUGCAGCAAUUAUCAUCUAUAAAAGGGAUUUUAUUUAUUUAUUUUGCUAAAAUGAGAAAGAAUGGAAUUCAAGUUAAUGAGUAGUCAUUUUAAUUACUUAGGAAAUUCAUGUUUUAAUCCAAUAUUUAGUAACAGUGUCUAAAGCAUGUAUUUAAUAUAAUAAAAAGUUAGAUAGACGCAUAAUUAAGACCAUUAUUUUCAAUAAUUCUAAUACUUCACCCAUUAAAUAGGAUAACAACUUGCAAGGACCUCAUUUCUUUCACACAAGCAUGUGGGUAUGUCUUAUAAUUAAAUAACUCACCAUGCUUGGCUAGCUAUAUGGAAAAAUCAAACAUUAUGGGCAAGUUGAUGUACCCAGUCACCCCCAUACUUCAAUACUGACUAAGAUAGUCAAUGCUAUAGAAAAAUCAAACACUGUGGGCAAGUUGAUGUCCUUUUUUACCAUUAAUUUUCUUAUUAAGAAAUGAGGUACUUUUAGAGAGUUACUAAUUUCCUUAUUCUUAAGAGAAAAUUCAUAAGAAAAAUUGAUGAUAUGAUUCAUGAAGAAAUAAACAAAAUCAAAAUCAGAUUUUGGAGAGCCUUACAUUAGUCAAUAAAGGCAUACUUUUUUCAAAUUAGAAAAAUGCAGGGGAUACCAAGUUAGGUUUCAUUAGAAAUGUAGUAGCAAAUUCCAUAAAGGCAAAAUAGCAAUCUAAACUCACAAAAGGAGAAUUAUUUGAAAGUUUGAAGGUGAGUGCAUAGAGAAAGAUAUACAACUACAAACAAAAAAUGAUCUCUCAUGGUUCCAAGUUGUAGUGCCCCACAAUAAAAUGAUGCAUGAAUCAAUUUCUUUCCUCAUUGGUCCCACAGGGACUUUUCAAGUUUGAGAGGCUGAGUGUCAAAUGCUAUUCAUUGUCAUAACUAGAAUCCAAAAAAGAUGAUAAGAUUCGUAAUGCAAUGGCUAAGAAGUUUUGCUACUCCACUUGCUUUGCAUUGGUAUAAGGUCUAUCCAUAGAUGUCCAAGCAUAAAUAUGACUUGAAGUAGAGAUGGAAACAUGAUGCCAAUAGAAUUGAUUGGUACCUAAUAUUCCAUGGAGAAAGGUGUAUAGGUAAGAUAUAACCUAUUAAACUAGAUUGGAGGUUUAGAAAUUCAUAAAAAUCAAUUAUAUUAUAUACUUAUACCAAAUAUGAGUUUUUUUUCUUUUUUAUUUUUUUCCCUCCUUUUGAAAUUCAAAUUUGAUCUUAAUACAUUUAUGGAUUUGCUUUUGAGAUCAACUUUAGUUGUGUCAGUUCUUUGAAGAAAAAAAAAACUUUCAUCAUGCCUUGAAGUGAAAUCUCCGUCCUCAAUCCCCAUUAAAUAACAUAUAAUUGACUUAUGUGGAGAGUGUAAAAGCCUACUAAAUUGGUUCAAUCUAUUUAGUAGCACCAAAAUAUCAAAGCAAAACCCUAUAAUAACAAUUUGCAGCAAUUAUCAUCUAUAAAAGGGAUUUUAUUUAUUUAUUUUGCUAAAAUGAGAAAGAAUGGAAUUCAAGUUAAUAAGUAGUCAUUUUAAUUACUUAGGAAAUUCAUGUUUUAAUCCAAUAUUUAAUAACAGUGUCUAAAGCAUGUAUUUAAUAUAAUAAAAAGUUAGAUAGACGCAUAAUUAAGACCAUUAUUUUCAAUAAUUCUAAUACUUCACCCAUUAAAUAGGAUAACAACUUGCAAGGACCUCAUUUCUUUCACACAAGCAUGUGGGUAUGUCUUAUAAUUAAAUAGCUCACCAUGCUUGGCUAGCUAUAUGGAAAAAUCAAACAUUAUGGGCAAGUUGAUGUACCCAGUUACCCCCAUACUUCAAUACUGACUAAGAUAGUCAAUGCUAUAGAAAAAUCAAACACUGUGGGCAAGUUGAUGUCCUUUUUAACCAUUAAUUUUCUUAUUAAGAAAUGAGGUACUUUUAGAGAGUUACUAAUUUCCUUAUUCUUAAGAGAAAAUUCACAAGAAAAAUUGAUGAUAUGAUUCAUGAAGAAAUAAACAAAAUCAAAAUCAGAUUUUGGAGAGCCUUACAUUAGUCAAUAAAGGCAUACUUUUUUCAAAUUAGAAAAAUGCAGGGGAUACCAAGUUAGGUUUCACUAGAAAUGUAGUAGCAAAUUCCAUAAAGGCAAAAUAACAAUCUAAACUCACAAAAGGAGAAUUAUUUGAAAGGUUGAAGGUGAGUGCAUAGAGAAAGAUAUACAACUACAAACAAAAAAUGAUCUCUCAUGGUUCCAAGUUGUAGUCCCCCACAAUAAAAUGAUGCAUGAAUCAAUUUCUUUCCUCAUUGGUCCCACAGGGACUUGUCAAGUUUGAGAGGCUGAGUGUCAAAUGCUAUUCAUUGUCAUAACUAGAAUCCAAAAAAGAUGAUAAGAUUCGUAAUGCAAUGGCUAAGAAAUUUUGCUACUCCACUUGCUUUGCAUUAGUAUAAGGUCUAUCCAUAGAUGUCCAAGCAUAAAUAUGACUUGAAGUAGAGAUGGAAACAUGAUGCCAAUAGAAUUGAUUGGUACCUAAUAUUCCAUGGAGAAAGAUGUAUAGAUAAGAUAUAACCUAUUAAACUAGAUUGGAGGUUUAGAAAUUCAUAAAAAUCAAUUAUAUUAUAUACUUAUACCAAAUAUGAGUUUUUUUUUUUUUGUUAUUUUUUUCCCUCCUUUUGAAAUUUCAGAUUUGAUUUUAAUACAUUUAUGGAUUUGCUUUUGAGAUCAACUUUAGUUGUGUCAGUUCUUUGAAGAAAAAAAGAAGACUUUCAUCAUGCCUUGAAGUGAAAUCUCCGUCCUCAAUCCCCAUUAAAUAACAUAUAAUUGACUUAUGUGGAGAGUGUAAAAGCCUACUAAAUUGGUUCAAUCUAUUUAGUAGCACCAAAAUAUCAAAGAAAAACCCUAUAAUAUGCCUCUUCCAACAAUUUAACAAUUUGCAGCAAUUAUCAUCUAUAAAAGGGAUUUUAUUUAUUUAUUUUGCUAAAAUGAGAAAGAAUGGAAUUCAAGUUCAAGAGUAGUCAUUUUAAUUACUUAGGAAAUUCAUGUUUUAAUCCAAUAUUUAGUAACAAUAUCUAAAGCAUGUAUUUAAUAUAAUAAAAAGUUACAUAGACGCAUAAUUAAGACAAUUAUUUUCAAUAAUUCUAAUACUUCACCUAUUAAAUAGGAUAACAACUUGCAAGGACCUCCUUUCUUUCACAAGCAUGUGGGUAUGUCUUGUAAUUAAAUAGCUCACCAUGUUUGGCUAGCUACAAAACAUUCUAUAUGGAAAAAUCAAACAUUAUGGGCAAGUUGAUGUACUCAAUCACCCCCAUACUUAAAUACUGAUUAAGAUAGUCAAUGCUAUAGAAAAAUCAAACACUGUGGGCAAAUUGAUGUACUUAGUUACCCUCAUAUUUCAAUACUGACUAUGAUAGUCAAUGCUAUAAAAGAAUCAAACACUAUAGGCAAGUUGAUGUACCUAAUCACCCUCAUACUUCAAUACUGACUGUGAUAGUCAAUGUUAUAGAAAAAUCAAACAUAGUGGGCAAGUUGAUGUACCUAGUCACGCUCAUACUUCAAUACUAACUACGAUGGUUAGUGCUAUAUGUACCUAGUCACCCUUUUUCUUCAAUACUGAGUAUGAUAGUCAAUGCUAUAGAAAAUUCAAAAAUUAUGGGCAAGUUGAUGUACCUAAUCACUCUCAUACUUCAAUAUUGAUUGUGAUAAUCAGUGCUAUAGAAGAAUAAAAUAUUGUGGGCAAAUGAAUGUACCCAGUUCAUGUACCUAAUCACCCUCGUAUUUCAAUACUGACUAUGAUAGUCAAUGUUUUAGAAAAAUCAAACAUAGUAGGCGAGUUGAUGUACCUAGUCACCCUCAUACUUCAAUAUUGACUAUGAUAGUCAAUGCUAUAGAAAAAUCAAACACUAUGGGCACGUUGAUGUACCUAGUCACCCUUAUACUUCAAUACUAACUAUGAUAGUCAAUGUUAUGGAAGAAUCAAACAAUAUAGGCAAGUUGAUGUACCUAGUCACUCUCAUACUUCAAUACUGACUAUGAUAGUCAAUGUUGUAGAAAAAUCAAACACAAUGGGCGAGUGGAUGUACCUAGUCACCCUCAUACUUUAAUACUAACUAUGAUAGUCAAUGCUAUAGAAAAUCAAAGAUUGUGGGCAAGUUGAUGUACCUAGUCACCAUCAUACUUCAAUACUGACUAUGAUAGUCAAUGCUAUAGAAGAAUCAAACACUAUGAACAAAUUGAUAUAACAUUUUCUAAACAAUUUUUUCUCUAACUUUCGAUUGGUUUUACGCCUUUCUUUAUCUCUAUCUCACAUUUCCAUUGCUCAAGACUAAUCUUGGAGGAGCUAAACCUUCAAUCAUAUUACUUGAAAGGGCUUGUUAUUAACUUUAUUCAACCAUAUAUACUAUGCCCUUUAAUUAAUGUUUAAAUUGGUGGAUAGAAUAUAGAAUAAAGAUAAAAAGUGAGAUAAUACAUUCACCCUCUUCCCCGUAUCUCCUCCACGUGAUAUUUAACAACCACAUAAAAAAGAUGGGAUGCAUAUCUAAUGGAUCAUAAAUUCUUUUUUGUAAUACAUAUAUAAAAAUGUUUUUAUAUAUCAUAUAUAAACUUAAUAUAUAUCAUUUAACAACAUGUAAUAAUUUCAUAAGUAUAAACUCUAAAAUAACAAUUUUAAAAUAAACAAAGGAGAGGUCUCUAAAUAAUGUUGAAUGGUAAGAGAGAUUGUAUCUUUUUUUAAUAAUAAAUGUUAGAAUGAAAUAUUUCAUAUAUUAUUUAAAGAAUUGUAAAACAUCAAGAUGAGAUUGUUUAACAAAUUUAAAAUAAAGAUUGGAGAGGUCUCUAAAUAAUGUUGAAUUGUAAGAGAGAUCACAACUUUUUUAAAAACAAAUGUUUGGAUGCAAUUCAUAUAUUAUUUAAAAAAUUGUGAAACAUUAGGAUGAGAUAUAUUUAACAAAUUUCAAAUAAAUGAUGGAGAAGUCUCUAAAUAAUAUUGAAUCAUAAGAGAGAUUAUAUCUUGUUUAAUAAUAAUGUUGGAUGCAAUUCAUAUAUUAUUUAAAAAUUUUGAAACAUUAGGAUAGGAUAUGUUUUUUAUUCUAUUAUUUACUCCUUCAAUACAUCAAAUAUUAGUAUAGUAUAAUAUAUUUUAAUAAAUAUAAAAAUAUUAUUUUUUUCUAUAUAUCCACAUCUUUAAAUCUCAUAUUUUCUUGAAAAUAAUAUUAUAUAUAUAUAUAUAUAUGAUAUUACAUAUAUAAUUAAUUAAUUCGUUAUAGAGAAAUUGAGCUCCAUUCCCUAUUAGCCUUUUCUUGCAGAGUCAAUGACUUUUCCUCCAAAGCGAGUGACUUUAUCUUUCAAGUUACAUCUUUCAAAUUAGGUGUAAAGAUCUAAUUUCAUUGGCUACUUCAAGAAGGUCUAAGCCCCACUAGCAUUCAAAAUUAAUUAAUUAAUUAAUUUUUUAAUCUAGGGAUAGGUAGACUAAAAAACUUCCGUAACAGUGCUUGACAUUUCAAUUUGGUGGCUUUAAUGAAAUUCAUUUCAACUUGAAAUUCAUCCUCUUCCUGAAAUUCAUCCUCUAUCUUUUCAUAGAAAUCCAUAAUUGAGAAAUUCAUGGCUUCUUCCUUCUAUCUCUUCCCGCUCAUUGGAUAUUUCUAAAGGCAAAGGCAUCAAGUAGCGAAAUAUUAUGUAUCACCAUCUCAUGAAUGUUAAACACAUGCAAAGGGAUGAAAUUAUAUAAAUUAAGGUCAUAUUUAAUUCAGGGUUUAGACUAGGAUAAACUAUUAAUUUGCAAUUCAUAUAUACAUAUAUAUAAUUUUAAUUUGUAUUAUAGUACGUAUAAAUAUGCUUUUAUUUUUUUCUUUUUGGAAUAAAUUAUUAUUAUUAUUAUUAUUUUGUUCAAAGUGAUUAAAAUGAAAUUUUUUUCAAAAGAAAUAUUUAACAAAUCCAAUGAAUAUGAGAAAUAAAUUUAUUAUCUAAAAGCCAUAUAUAUUGCAUGUUUUUCCUGAGAUUGUUAAAUCCCAUAUAAAGGGAUAUGAUAAAUAAAAUGAAUAAUCAUUUAUCUUAUCCAUUUUAAAACCAAACAUAAAAUAAAGUUGAUAUGAUCUUAAGAGCAUAGCAUGUAUCUUAGGUAAAAUAAACAAAAAAAUAAAAAAUAAAAAGGUUAUUAUGAUUUGCAAAUAAGACUAAAAUAAAAAUUAAUUAUUUUGAAGAUUAUGAAUGCUCAUUAUUACAUCAACAACCCUUGUAUGUGGAUCAAACUUUUUAGUUGGUCCCUUUCAAGCAUCAUAUUCCUUCGAUAAUUCUAGUAAGAUUGGCUUUGUUGACAUUGACCACUAUAUUGUCAUAAACCAUAUGGUCCAUUAUACAUGUCUCAGUUUCAAAAAAAUGCCUACCAACGAAAUUUCUUAGCAAUAAAUGGAUAUUUGUUCUUGCCUCGGAAGACUUUUACUUCUUUGCAUUGAGAAUUAUGACUAAGGGAAGGAUCUAUAAACUUUUCAAAUAUGGAUUUUCGUGGAAAAGUGGGUAGUAUAUUUCAACAAGGUGACAAAUAAUUUUUUUGGUUUUGUCUUGCUUGAUUGCCCAAAUAAGAUAUUAAUUGAUCUUAAUUACGAAGGUGCCUAGGCAACUUCUUCAUGCAGCCAGGAAAAUUCAAUCUUAAAAGUUACUUUGUUCUCACUAUCAUUGUGAGAAAAACUAAAUGUUAUUUAUCAUUUUCUAUGAAUGUUGAACACAUGCAAAUGAUGAAAUUACAUAAAUUAAGGUCAUAGGACAAAAUAUUAAUGAAAUAUAAUAUAUUAUAAUAUAAUAUAAUAUUUAUAUAUAUAUAUAUAUAUAUAUAUAUAUAUAUAUAUAUAUAUAUAUAUAACCAAAAUUUUAUCAUUUUAAUUUUUUUUUUUUUUUUUUGGUUAUUCAAAGUGAUUAAUAUGAAAUGUUUUUGAAAGAUAUAUCUAAGAGAUCCAAUAAAUAUAAGACAUAAAUUUAUUAUCCAAAAUUUAUAUAGAUUCCAUUUUUUUCAUGAGAUUGUUAAAUUCCGAUAUGAUAAAAAGAAUUAAUAAAGUUAAUAUGACCUUAAGAGCAUAGCAUGCACCUUUAGAUAAAGUAAACAGAAAAUAAGAAGGUUGUCAUGAUUUGCUUGUAAAACUAAAAUUUGAAUCAAUUAUUUUGAAAAAUAUGGCGCCCAUGAGUAUUUCCAAAGCCUUGUAAGUUGGAUAAGGGUUAACAUACAAAAGUGUGGUCUUGGGUUAGAAAAUGCAAGAUAUAGAAAGAAAACACACAAGGAAGGAAGGGAAAUCAUUAUAAUUACUCUGAGAUGGGAUAUAUAUAUAUAUAUAUAUAUAUAUAUAUAUAUAUAGAUAUCAUAAAGAUGUAGAAUUACUAAAAAUAAAAUAAAAGAUAAUUUGUCCGAUGCUUCCAUCAAUUAUUACUCAAAAGAUCAUUAUGCUAAACUCAAAACCACUUUGAGAGACAUAUAUAUAAAGAUUGAACUCAAAACAUUGCAAUGUAUAUAAAAGUAUGGUACUUUGAGGAAACAUAGAAUAAGAAAAUUGUUUUUAAAUUAAGUUUACAAAUACUUUUUUUUUCUAGAAAUAAUAAAGAAAUAUGUUAAGACUGUUCUCAUAAAUUAAUUUUAAAAAAAUGCUACUAAAAGUAGACAAGCCACAUUCAUACAUGUUAUUCUAUGAAUAGAAAAAAAAUAAAAAUAAAUAAAAGGUCUAGUAAAAAAAGUCUAUACAUAAGACAAAUGCAUUAAACUAGUGUCAAGAUUCCAACAAAUGCCUUAUUCUAUGAAGUCAUGAACAAGUAAUGAUUCAAUUAAAACAUGGAGUAUCUGCCUAGAAACCUGUUAUUCCAUAAAAAGUAUAAGUCGUGCAAGUUGAUUAAGGCUAGGAUUGAAAUUACUAAACAUAUUUUUUGGUAAGAUAAAUUUUGUUAGGAUUUUAUGGUUAUCCUAUAUCCUACUUCAAAUCAAUCUAGAUGAAAUUAUAUUAUGUGAUGAGUGUAUAAUCCUUCAUUGAAACCUCUAACAAGUUAAGACAAUUGUUAAAGAAAAAUCUAAACCCAAACCUCUUGAUCAGCUGGUUUUCUAUAUUGAUUUUCUCCCCAUAAAAUUUUCCCUUCUUCCCUUCGUUUUGUUUGGUCAUGGUGCCGCCCCCUUUGUAAGCAAAUCGUUUCAACAAAAUCUUAAAACUAAUAACCUAUGUACAAGAAUCAUUAAUGUUUCACCUGCCAAGAACAAGCUAGGCUAAUAUUCACCUGUUUACAAAUUAAUUUCAUAAUCAUUUCAUAAUUAGACUUAAAAAAAUAUUUUUCUUUUCUAUUUUUAUUUAUGAAUGUGUAGUUAGCAAAUGUUGUAAUCAGUGGUUCAUGAUGAAUGGGAUUUUUGUACAAUAGACUAAUUUUGAGGCUCACUUUUGAAUUAAGGUCAUGCGUAUCUUUUAACAUAAAUCUGAAAAUAUAAUAAAAUAUUUAAUAAAAUUAAGUUCUAUUUAGACUUAAGUCAAAUUACAAUUUAUUUAGUUUUAAGAUAAAUUAAACAAAUCUCAUUCGAAAAAUUCAGGCUUACAACAUCAAUUUUCCUUUUUUUGCCAUUAAUUUUCCUAUUAAAUAAUGAGAUGCUCUAGAGAGCUUAUUAUUUCUUUAUUAUUAAGAGAAAACUCAUAAAUAAUAAAAAAUAAAAAAAUAAACUAAUCAUACAAUUUAUGAGGAAAUUAGUAAAAAUUAAAAUUAGAUUUUGAAUAGCCUUACAUUAAUUAACUAAAGGCAUCCUUUUCCAAAUUGGAAAAUGCAAGAGAUACCAAGUUAGGUUUCACUAUUAAAAGUAAAUUCCAUGAAGGUAACUAGAAUGCUAAUUGAAACUCACAAAAAUAGAAUAAUUUAAAGUCACUUGAUCUAAAUUACUCUAAAGGUAGGCAUGUAGAGAAAGAUAUACAAUUACAAACAAAAAAUGAUCUCUCAUGAGUCCAAGUUGCAGUCCCUUCCCUAAAAAAUGAUACAUGCAUCAGUUUCUUUCGUGAUUGGACUCAUAAGGACAAAGGAGCUAAACUAGUCAAGUUUGAGAGACUGAACGCCAAUUGCCAUUCAUUGUCAUAAUCAGUAUCCAAAAAACAUGAUAAGAUUCAUAACACAAUGACUAAGAUAUUCCAUGGAGAUGACAACAUGUUGCUAAAAGAAUUGAUUGGUACCUAAUAUUCCAUAGAAAAAGUUGUAUAGAUAAGAUAGAACCCGUUAAACUAGCUUGGAGGUUUGGAAAUUCAUCAAAAUUAGUUAUAUUAUGAACUAGCUUGGUGGCUUUAAUGUCAAUCAAGCAAGACAAAACCAAAAAAUCAAUUAAUUUAUCCUCUUCCUGAAAUUCAUUUCCUAUGUUUUCAUACAAAUUCAUAAUUGAGAGUUUCAUGGGUUCUUCCCUUUAUCUCAUCCAACUCAUUGGAUAUUUCAAAAGGCAAAGGAAUCAAGUCCCUCCAAGUGCAUGGAAAAUCUCCAUUUAGUGCCAAGAAAAUGAACUCAACAAGUACCCCCAUUUACAGUGGACCCUAUAUACAAUGGGCCACAAAAAUUGAAAAUAGACUCAAUAUACAAUGGACCACACAAUGAAUGAAUCAUAGUGAGACAAUAGUCAUAUAAUGGCUAUAUAGUUGUAUGAACCACACAAAUUGAAAAUAGACCCUAUUUAUAAUGGACCACACAAAGAAUGAAACAUAGUGAGAAAUCAGUCACAUACAUACAAUGGACUAUAUGGUCCACGACCAUUACUAAGAAAUAGUCAAUUAUAAAAAUUCAGACUCCUUGAAAUGAUGCUGCUUGUGGGAAUGAUUUAAAAAUUUUAAUAUUUUUUUUAAAAGAAAAUAGACACAUAGCAAUAGGGUUUACAUGAUUCAAUAAUGUAAUUAAAUCCACCAUCGAUAUGGAAACUUUUUAAUAACAAACCCUAACCCCCAAAGAACUAAUCUAAGUGGUUUCCGAUAAGGAAAUACUUACUUUCAACUAAAACAUUUAAGGUUUGUCUACAAAUAUUUUUAAAAUUAGUUUUUAUUUUUAAAACAAAAAUAAUUUUCCCAUCUCAAAAAUAUAUCUAACAAAUUUUAGAAUAAAAAUAUCAUGAAAAUAAAGUGGUUGGUGUUUUUUUUUUUUUUUUUGUAUUAUUUCAUUUUGCAUGGUAAAUUACAUUCACCAAGAACUAAUGAAGAAAACCAUUUUUUAGAAUUUCAAAUAGAAUUUUAUUCUUAAAAAUGAUAUAAAAUUGUUUUUAUGAAUUGUUCUCAAAAACUUAUUUUUAAAAAUCAUUUUUUAAAAUAUUAUCUAACAUGCCUCAAAUUUUCUUAUGAGAACCUAACCUUGCAGUUUCCCAGGUCUAAUUUGCAAGAAGCAAAAUAAUGUUGCGAGAUCUUCACAAGUAACAAGGCAACAAAUCACAUGAGAACAAGUCUAUGAAAACUUCUCAAUGUUUCAUUUUAUUCUUUCCAUGAUGCAAAGCUCUAGUUUCCAAGAUGGAAACUUGUCCACAUAAAAUUUUCCAUUUUUUCUCAACUCCUCCUAGCCACCUUAAUAGUAGUGAAGCUUCUUCCAAGAAAGUAAGACAUAAUGACUAAGGUUAUUUGUUCGAGGCUAGUUAUUUAAUAAACUCCCUUAUAGUUGCUUACCUAACAUCAAAGCCUACUAUCUUUGGAGGACAAGAGUCUUCCACAUUUUUUAUUUUUUGAAAUUCAUCUCUCCACCAUCUCCAUCUCUCAAUCAUUAAACGGCCUAGAAAAGCGAGGAUUCCAACCCCCUCCUCCUCUGAAACAACCCACACCUCAGCCACCCACUCCUCUUUAGAAGCAGUCAGCUCAAACAACGAAGGGAAGGAACGGCUUAAAGUGUCGUCGUCGCACCACCUAUCUUCCCAAAGUCUCACUCUUCUUCCAUCCCCAAUGGAGAAAACGAAAUUGCCCCUCAUUAAAGGUCAUUCCUUCCUAAUUUCCUUCCAAAACCCCCACACCACCCCCUUUCUUCUACCACAUACUUCCUACUUAUCAUUUGUUUCCAAAGAGUCCCAUUUUCUUCCGCAAAGCACCAACUCCAUUUUUUGGAAACUCCAUUUCCAAAAAAAACUAAUUGUCUUAAUAUCAGAAACAAAAGAAGGUUGAGGCUGCAACUAUUAUCACUAGCAAAUAGUUAUCAUUCUACAAGUCUUCUAAUUUAUUUUAAAUGUUUCAAACUUCACCUGCUUAGACAUGUCUAACAACUUCUUUAGCAGUCAGGCCAAGAACUUAGCCUUUAAGAUCAAUAAAAAUAAACAUUCCACAUAAGAACUUGGUUUUUUUCAUUUCUUUUGAUAAAUGUAAAAUUUUCGUAAUUUGAAAAUUUUCACCUUAAGCUUAAUUUGCUGAUUAUUUGACUUGGAUGGCUACUUAUAAGUACAAACCAUCUUUAAAGAAUAAAUUGCUGAACUGUUUAGGCCUGGAACAUGUAAUAAACACCUAAUUUAAAAAACCAAAAUAUAAAGAUUGUUUUUAGUAUAAUAAAAUAUUUGGUUGCUUUAUAAUAAAAAUAUAAAGCAACGUCUACUGGUAUUUUUCAAUUUGUCAAAAUAUGGAAUGCAGACAUAAUAAUAAAUAGAAUUUAAGAGAUACCAAACUAGUGAUGCAACAUAAUGAACCUAUUAACUUGUAUUUUAAAAGAGAACCUUAGAAAGGCCAUACUUAGGACUCUAAAAUUUUCAUUCUACUUAUGAUCUAACCAUGGGGGAUUUUGGAAAGAUCAUAACCUCAGAGAAAGGCAUCAGACUAAUACCUGCAUGGAAAUUUGCACAAGAUUUCAGAUUCCAAUCAUUGAGUUCAAGGCAGUUUAAAUACAAAGCUCGCAAGUAAAUUCACAAGUUCAAUAUUUGAAGACCAAAAUUGACUCAAGAAGAUGCUCUAUAUGCUUAAUUAUCAUUUUAGGAUACUUCAAUUAUGUGAAUACAAGAAAAAAAAAUAUUUUCUAUUUCACUCUUUUUUUCAUUUGUUUCUUAGAAAAAAACUUAAUUUCUUAAGCAUUUCUUUUCACAUAAAACUUUAUACUAUAAAAACUAUUACUUGUUAUUUAUUACUAUUAUUAUUGUAAUAAUUCAUACAAUGAUCAAAAGAAAGAAAGAAAGAAAGAAAGGAAAAAUCAUUGCAUGAUAAAAUUGCUCUAUAGAAUAGAUUAAGUUAAUAAACAAAUUCAUUUUUUAAAUUUUCUUAUGCUUAUUGUAAGUAAUUCACUUUCAUAGCAAUCACAUUUAGCUCUAGCAUAUUCAAUAUCAAAAAUGAAAAAAAAAAAAAAGGAACAAAAAGUAAAUAAAUAAAUAAAUAAGUUUCUUCCAAACCAAUAAGCUGAUAUCAAAUUGUCCAACUUUGUAUGAUGAGGUUAGAGAGAUGGCAGCCCCAGUUGCAAUCCUAUUGUUUUGGUCAAGGGUUUACUUGUUAUCUAUCAUGCUUAAGGUUAAUCCCCUGCAUGAUAAAAUAUAGACUUAAUGGUAAAACUUAUGAAAUAGUUUUAUGUUGUUACCUUUUCUACAGAAAGAAAAUAAGAAACUAUUAAUUAUUAAGUUUAUCAAACUUCUAUCACAUUUUCUAAGAAAAAUAGGAAGAAAAAAAAAUCAUUAAUAUCUUGUUGUUUCCUUUUUUUUUUUCAAGAUAACAAUGGAGCUACUCCAAAGUUUCAACUUUUCUAUGCUUUCUCUUUACUGUUGUCUUGCCAAAGUCUCACUUUGUCCACCCUGCUAAUAAGCAAACAUGCCAUUGGAGGGAUGAUAUUGGCCCUACUGGGGACUAGAUUUUUAUCCAACUUAAGAGAAACCUAGCCAUAGAAGGUGCAUCCACACAAAGAAAGAAAAAGGAAAUGCCUUAUCUUCAAAAUGCAGGGGCCAAAUGAGAGAGAUGCCUAUUGUCCCCACCCAGUCAAAGAAUGAAAAAGAAAAAUCAAAUGAACAUGACAUAAAAGAUAGUAAAACGUUUGGAGACUGGAAUUCAAUGAAUUAUAGCUCAUUGUAUCAUGUGGAGAGUUAGGCUAUAAACUUGUUUUUAUGAUAGCGAAACAUAGUGAAGCAUUGAAAAGAGAGUUUUUUAAAUUAUUGAUACAUAGGGUAGUCAAUGGAUGAAGAGGAUGGCUAAUGUUAGCAAAUAGCUAAACAAGAAGCUUAAUAGUAAACCCCUUUCAGAUAUAUGGCUAGAAGGACAAGUAAGAUGAAAUCAUUAAAUGAAUCUUUGUUUCUUUGAUGGGGAUUGCAUUUUUUUUACUUUUUCUCUGAUGGAACUUUGAAGUUACAUUAUAUUUUGAGAAAACCAAAAAACAUGAAAAACUGGAGAAAAAAAAAAACACUCGACAAAACUCCUAGCACCCAAAAAUGAAGGUACAUUAAAGUAAAAGUAAAUUUUUUUUGGUUAUUGUGUCUUUGAUUAAAUGAUCUAUAACUUGAAAACCAAAAAGAAACAAAGAAAAAAAACAAAAAAGAGAAUGAUCAACCAAAAGAAAAAAAAAAAAUCCCAAAUAGUUAGUGUGGAUACAUUGAAGCCUCUUCCACCAAAUCAAUUAGGUGAAAUAUGGGUUCGAGGGCAAACAUGAUGCAGGACAAAGUUUGAUCAAAAGCUUGUGUUAGUUCCUCUUCGCAACGAUUUAUAACAACAGGUGACCUUAUCUGAAUCUCCCAAUUAAUUAGGUUCCAUUCAAAUCGAACCAUCUUAAUUCAUUUAGAAAGGAAACAUGGUGGUUAAGACAUCAAUUUUGGUUAAAAUCAAAUUAUUAAUGUUUUAAUUUUGCCUUGUAUUAACUUGUGAAGCCAAACAAUGUAUUCCUAAUCAAACUGCUUAAUCUCACAAGUGGCUUGCCUUGUGUUGUGGGACUCCUAAGCUAACCCUCAUCUUGCUAACAUCUGAUUUGCCAAAUUAGGCAAAUUAGACCAGUCAGACCUGUUAUAACAUAUUACUGAAUACCUAAGAUCCAAAGUUUGAUUAUUUCAAUUGGUCUUUCAAUUAGAACUCUAUGACAUAUGUGAAAUAUAAAACUGCUUCUGAAUUUUGUAUCUCUUUGUACCAUUGAGUUUCAAAUAUUCCACAUUAAGGAAAAUGGGUGCUCAAUAAAAGAGAAUGAAAUAAUGAUAAGAUUUUCAUUCUUGAAUAUUUAUAAGCCAAUCUUGGUUAUUAUAUCUUGAUCUAUAGCUAACUCUCUUGCCAAUUUGGUUGGAGCUAACUCUCUCGGGAUGUGAAUUGCCUGAGAUAUGAUGGCCUCAAAUGAAAACAGAAAGGAAAGGGAAAAACCAACCAGAAAGAAAAGGAAUUUGAUAAUUAGGAAAUUGGCAGGAAGAAAAAGAAAAUGCAUUCAACCUAGUAGAUAAAAUUAGUAAAGUGUCUCUCCUAUAAGCAUAAGAAUUUCCACUCAAAGAACAAAUAUCAAGCUUAUGUCAAUCAGCUAAAUUAAAAAUGUAAAAAUGAGCCUAAAAAGUCAAUUCCUGAUUUUUAAGAAGUUAGAAAAUCACAAAAUUGCAUUUGCCCCAUACAUGAGAUAACAGGAUUUGUAUAGAAGUAAAAGAAUGGUUGGUGAAAAACAGAUGUUGAAGUCCAUUUAAGAAAUUAAAAUUAAGGUAAAUUAGGAAGCCUUUUCCCUCCAAAAUUGCAUAAACCCCAAAACCUAUCCAAUGUUUCUCCUGAAUAGCAAUUGUACAUGAGAUAAAUAUAAUCAAAUGACAUGAUUUUCAACAUCAGAAUUUUUAGAUUUUUGAAAAAAUGCUUUUAGUCCAUACCCAUUAAUUUUGAUAAACUUAAUAUUCAUUUUUCCCCUUCUUCUUAGUGUUUACAUGAAGAACAAAAUUAGUCCAAGGGGGUUACUACUUUGAUGGAUUCAAAAUAAAAAAUAAAUAAAUAGAUAAAUAAAAUGAAAAAAAAAAAAGAAACAAGAUUAAGAUGAGUCAAAGUGUAGCAUCCUAAUUAGGAAGAGCUUUGCUCUAUUCGAAGCUCAUAGCCUUUGAUUUCAUGAGGUGCAGACAAGGCACUAUAAUAAUAGCAGACUGCAUUGAAUUUCAUAUCACUAAAAUUUUCAACUUCAUCUUAUGCACGGAAGACAAAAAAACACAAAAGAGAAGGGACAGGAGCAAUCAUUGCUUCCAAGCUAAGCUUCGAUGCACAUGAAAAUGGAAAGAAGAAUAAGAGUGUAGAGAUGGGGUAUGUGAAAGUAUGGUGAGGGAUUGAUGCUCAUAAUAAUUAGUAAAUAUAUACCAGGGAAUCCAAACACAAACCCUAACCAGAAAAAGAGAGAUGGGAGGAAAUAGAAGUGAUGAAAAGAAACCCAAUUUGAAAUCAAAGAAAGAAAGAAAAGAAUAAUAGAGUGUGAAGCCGUAGAAGGAAUCAAAAGAAUACCUAGAAGAUGUGGGCGAUGAAGUGGCUAAAGAAAUUGGUCGUUGAGCAAGUUGGUCAUUGAUCUAAGCCCCCUCAGUGAUGAGGAUGUCAGUGAAGACAAGAAUCUAGUCGGAGAAAUAUACAGUGAUGAGGAUGGGUAUUAUGGCUUUGGGAGAAGAGUUCAAUGGUCUCUAAUGGUGGCUAAGAAGAGUGAACGAUAAAAGACAUGGCUCUCAGUGGGUCCAGCAGUCUAAACCGAGCAGGAGAGAUAGUGCUUAUAUAGUGGCUCUAUGGUCGCGAACAAGCCCAUGUGAUUGUGCCUAUUAGGCCAUAUAUUGCUAGAAGAGCUUUUAUAGCAGCAACCCAGCCCAUGUGGUUGUGCCUAUUGGGCCAUAUAUUGCUAUAAGAGCUUUUAUAGCAGCAACCCAUUCGUUCCCCAGCUAUAUGAGCUUUUAUAGUAGCGAUCUAUUCCUCCCUCAGCCAUAAUGAUGCAGAAAUUUCUAAUCUGUUGCGACUUAUACAAGUAUGAUACUAUAUAUAUGUUUUGGUUGUGGAUUUUGUUGGCCCAAUUAAAACUAUGUCACAAUAUCUCACUUUUCUUCUAGGUACAUGUGUCCAACAUUUCAAACGAUGCCCUACCAUGUGAAUUUUCUUAGCAAUAAAUGAAUAUUUGUCCUUGCCUUGGAAGACUUUGACUCCUUACUAAGAAAUGUGAUGAAGGAAAGAAGUUAUGAACUUUUCAAUUAUAGAUUUCUCUGAAAAAGUGUGUUAUAUAUUUCAAGAAGACAAUAAAUAACUUUUUUGACCAAAUAAGAUAUUAUUUGAUCUUGUUUGUAAAGGUGUCUUGGCAGCUUCUUCAAGUAGCCAAGAAAAUUCAAUCUUUAAGAUUCUUAAUUUGUACUAUCAUCUCGAGAAACAGCCAAAUAUUAUGUAUCAUGAAUGUUAAACACAUGCAAGUAAUGAAAUUAUGUAAAUUAAUGUCAUAUUUAAUGGAUGGUAUAAAGUAGAAUAAAAUAUUAAUGAAAUAUGAUAUAGUUUUUGUACAAAAUUAUGUGCAAAGGGUUACUUCUGCAUAAGCAGAUGAAAAAGAAGAAGAAAAUUAACUAAGAAUCAUGAUGAUGUCACCCUCAUAGUUGAAAAGAAGAUGAAUAUAGGUGAAUAGGAUAUCACCUAUAAGCACCAUCUGAUCUAUUGGAGCACUCGUAAAACAUAAUAAACUUAUUAGCUUCUUGUAUUCUUUUAAUAUGAAUGGGGUACCUGCAUCACUUCUCUUCAUUGAAACUCUUCUACACAAACAAAUUCAUGGUGAGCACCCAUUUCUUAUGUCUUACCAUCGCUUUAUUCCUCCUUGCUUUGAGCUUUCUGAGUAAAAGGAAACUAGGAUUUACACCACAUUAUGUAGAGUAAAAAAACGAAAAACAAAAAACACACUAGACAAGACUCCUAGUACCCAAAAAUAAAGGUACAUUAAAGUAAAAGUAAAAAAAAAAAAAUUAAUAUCGUUUCUUUGAUUAAAUGAUCUAGAACUUGAAAACCAAAAAUGAACAAAGAAAAAAAGAAAGCAAAAAAGAGAAUGAUCAACCAAAAGAAAAAUGAUGAAUCCCAAAUAGUUACUAUGGAUACAUUGAAGCCUCUUCCACUAAAUCAAUUUGGUGAAAUAUGGCUUCAAGGGCCAAACAUGAUGCAGGGCAAAGUUUGAUCAAAAGUUUGUGUUAGUUCCUCUUCGCAACGAUUUCUAACAGCAAGUGACCUUAUUUGAAUCUCCCAAUUAAUUAGGUUCCAUUCAAAUUGAACCAUCUUAAUUCAUUUAGAAAGGAAACAUGGUGGUUAAGACAUCAAUUUUGGUUAAAAUCAAAUUAUUACUGUUUUAAUUUUGCCUUGUAUUGACUUGUGAAGCCAAACAUUGUAUUCCUAAUCAGACUGCUUAAUCUCACAAGUGGCUUACCUUGUGUUGUGGGACCUCCUAAGCUAACCCUCAUCUUGCUGACAUCUGAUUUGCCAAAUUAGGCAGAUUAGACCUGUUAGACAUGUUAUAACAUAUAACUUAACACCUAAGAUCCCAAGUUUGAUUCUUUCAAUUGGUCUUUCAAUUAUACCUCUAUGACAUAUGUGAAAUAUAAAACUGCUUCUAAAUUUUAUAUCUCUUUGUACUAGGGAUGGCAAUGGGGCGGGUUUUUUCGGGUACCCACCCCGCCCCGCCCCUAAUGGGACAAAAUUAAAUUUUAUUAAACGGGUUUGGGACGGGUUUGGGAAUGGUUUAAAAAACCCGGAGCGGGGCGGGGCGGGGUGGGGCAAUCCUCCAUCACACUUUUGCCCUUGAACUCUUCUACUGUUCUGGGUAUGGCAGCUUCUUGUCGCCGGAAACCAAAGAGCUUCUUCUCCACUUCCAAGACUCACCGGAGAGGACACGAAGAGAAGCACCAGAAGGGGAAGCUGGCCAGUCCAGGUUGUGAUGUCGUCAGAUUCAACAAUCGGAGAUCUGAUCGCGGCGGCACUGCGGCAGUACGCGAAGGAGGGGCGGCGGCUGGAGUUACCCAUGGAGAUAUGAUCACAGCGGCACUACGACAGUACGCGAAGGAGGGGCGGCGACUGGCGUUACCCAUGGAGAUCUGAUCGCGGCGGCACUGCAACAGUAAGCAAAGGAGGGGCAGCAACGUUACCCAUAGAGAUCUGAUUGUGGCGGUGCUGCGGCAGUACACGAAGGAGGGGUGGUGGUUGGCUUUACCCACAGAGACCUUAUCGCGGCGGCACUGCGUCAGUAAGCCCUGUCUCGCCGGUUUCAAUGGUGAAUUCAAAAAAAAAAAAAGUUAAACGGGGCGGGUGGGGCGGGUAUAGGAAUUUAUUGUACCCGCCUCGCCCCGCCCCGCCCCGCCCCGCCCCGUUUAAGUUUUUAAAUGGAACGGGGAUGGGAUUUAUUUUAAAUAAACGGGGCGGAGUUGGGAUGGGGCGACCCGUCCCGAACCCGCCCCAUUGCCAUUCCUACUUUGUACCAUUGAGUUUCAAAUAUUCUACAUUAAGGAAAAGAGGUGCUCAAUAAAAGAGAAUGAAAGAAUGGUAAGAUUUUCAUUCUCAGAUAUUUAUAAGCCAAUCUUGGCUAUUAUAUCUUGAUCUGUAGCUAAAUCUCUUGCCAAUUUGGUUGGAGCUAACUCUCUCCGGAUGUGAAUUGCCUGAGAUAUGGUGGCCUCAAAUGAAAACAGAAGGGAAAGGGAAAAAUGAACUAGAAAGAAAAGGAAUUUGAUAAUUAGUAAAUUGGCAGGAAGAAAAAGCAAAUGCCUUCAACCUAGUAGAUAAAAUUAGUAAAGUGUCUCUCCUAUAAGCAUCAGAAUUUCCACUCAAAGAACAAAUAUCAAGCUUAUGUCAAUCAACUGAAUUUAAAAUGUAAAAAUGAGCCUAAAAAGUCAAUUCCUGAUUUUUAAGAAGUUAGAAAAUCACAAAAUUGCAUUUGCCCCAUACAUGAGAUAACAAGAUUUGUAUAGAAGUAAAAGAAUGGUUGGUGAAAAACAGAUGUUGAAGUCCAUCUAAGAUUACCACUUGAAUCCUAAGAAAUGAAAAUUGAGGGAGGUAAAUUAGGAAGCCUUUUCCCUCCUUCAAAAUUGCAUAAACCCCAAAACCUAUCAAAUGUUUCUCCUGAAUGAGAUAAAUAUAGUGAAAUGACAGAUUUUCAACAUCUGAAUUUUCAAAUUUUUGACAAAAUACUUCUUAGUGUUUACAUGAAGAAAAAGAAGUAGUCUACGGGGGUUACUACUUUGAUGGAUUCAAAAUAAAAAAUAAAUAAAUGGAUAAAUAAAAUGAAAAAAAAUGGAAACAAGAUUAAGAUGAGUCAAGGUGUAGCAUCCUAAUUAGGGUGCAAAAUGAAGAGCUUUGCGCCAUCCAAAGCUUCCAUAGCCUUUGAUUUCAUUAGGUGUAAACAAGGCACUAUGAUAAUAGCAGACUGCAUCGAAUUUCAUAUCACUAAAAUUUUCAACUUCAUCUUUUGCACGGAAGACAAAAAAACACAAAAGAGAAGGGACACGAGAAAUCAUUGCUUCCAAGCUAAGCUUGGAUGCACAUGAAAAUGGAAAGAAGAAUAAGAGUGCAGAGAUGAGGUAUGUGAAAGUAUGGUGAGGGAUCGAUGCUCAUAAUAAUUAGUAAAUAUAUACCAGGGAAUCCAAACACAAACCCUAACCCUAACCCUAACCAGAAAAAGAGAGAUGGGAGGAAAUAAAAGUGAUGAAAAGAAACCCAAUUUGAAAUCAAAGAAAGAAAGAAAGGAAUAACAGAGUGUGAAGCCGUGGAAGGAAUCGAAAGAAUAACUGGAAGAUGUGGGCGGUGAAGUGGCUAAAGAAAUUGGUCGUUGAGCGAGUUGGUCAUUGAUCUAAGCCCCCUCAGUGAUGAGGAUGUCAGUGACGACAAGAAUCUAGUCGGAGAAAUAUACAGUGAUGAGGAUGGGUAUUAUGGCUUUGGGAGAAGAGUUCAAUGUCUCUAAUGGUGGCUAAGAAGAGUGAACGAUAAAAGACAUGGCUCUCAGUGGGUUCAGCAGUCUAAAUUGGGUAGGAGAGAUAGUGCUUAUAUAGUGGCUCUAUGGUCGCGGACAAGCCCAUGUGAUUGUGCCUAUUGGGCCAUAUAUUGCUAUAAGAGCUUUUAUAGCAGCAACCCAGCCCAUGUGGUUGUGCCUAUUGGGCCAUACAUUGCUAUAAGAGGUUUUAUAGUAGCAACCCAUUCGUUCCCCAACUAUAUGAGCUUUUAUAGUAGCGAUCCAUUCCUCCCUCAGCCAUAAUGAUGCGGGAAUUUAUAAUGUUUUUUUUUUUUUUGCUCAAUUUACCAUUUGACAACAUACAUGGAACUUUUUCUGAGAAAAUUCCAUUCAUAUGCUCUACUACCCUAUUUUUCUUUUUAUAAAACAAGAAAAAUGAAAAACUUGUUUGAAAGCUAUUUUUUGAAAUUGAGUAUUUCUCCAAUAACUUAAUGUUGCAGUGUUAAGUUGUCUUUUUAAUUAUUUUUAAGUUUAAAAUAAGAAAUUAACAUUCAUAGUCAUUGGUAUUGUAUUUUGUUCUUUUUUCUUGAGUUAAUAUAAAUAUCAUUUGUAAAUAUAAAAACAUUAAUUAUCAAAAUUUAUCUAAAAUUAAACAAAAUUACUAAAAAUACUUUUUAUUUUUGUGCAUAGAUUACAACAACCAAUAUUUAUCUAAUUUCAGAUAUUUUAAUUUUUACUCAAUAUAUGGAACUACCUAGAGAAGAAUGAACAGGUGCUCUAAGUAAUUAUCCCCAACAUUAAAUUUCUAUUUUAUCUAUAAAUUCAAUUAAUAUUCCAAUAUCAACAAUGAUCAAGUCUUCAUCAAUCUCACGCACAAAAUCUCUAAUUACACAAAUAGACAUAGUAAUAAUAGCAAUUCAUAUAAACAAAAAGCUAUAACCCAAAUAGCUUUGCGUUGGGCCUAGAAUUGCUUCCUCAACCCCAUUGGGCUUUGAUGCUGGGUCUCAAACGUGCUAGGCUAGGCUAAAUCCAAGCUAGCCUAUGGGUCGACAUAAUAUUGCAUUCCAAUUCUAGAGACAUCAUCAUAAGAAACUGAAAAUUGGGUCUGUUCAACAAGGAGUAGGGAAAAUGGAGUCGGAAGGGAGAACCUAAAAGUAAGAAAACAAGAUGCAGGGAGGAGUUUGCUUAAUGCUAAUGAGGCAUCAUACAUCUUCUGAUUUGUGAAGUAAAUUCUUAUUAUUUUUUAUUUUAUUUUCUGAAGUAAAUUCCAAAGGGAAAACUAUGAAAAGUAGUUUGUCUCUAGCAAGAAAAUAUUUGCAUAGAAAAAUACGUCAUCUUACAAAAUUGUAUUCAUACUUUAGGAGAUAAAAUAUUAUGUUACCUACUCUGCUAAUCGCAAAUCACAAUUAACAAAAUAUCAUGUUAGCUACCUACCCCAAGAGAAAACAAUGACAACACCAUGUGACAUGUUUAUUUAUUUGUCAAUUUUUUAGAAUAAAAAAUAAAUUAUUUAUUUUGUUAGACUAAUAUUUACGUACGUAUCGAUGUAGAAAAACAAAACAUUUACUAUAUUCAAGGUUGUUGAUUACAAAAAAUAAUCACUAUAUUCAUGUUGGACAUAUUUCUUACAUUUAAUUAUAAUGUCAGUCCUAGUGGUAUCAACUUAAAAAAAUAAAUAAAUAAAUUCAUGGGAAAGAAGCAUGUUGGAAAAUAAAAUUAUAUCCAUAUUUAAUUAUAAUGUCAGUCCCAAGUACACUACUUGUAAUCAUCUUUCUUGUGCAAAUGACCUGGUGGACUUCAAACUUAAAUAAAAUCGAAAUAUAAAUAUAAAAGUGAUCACUAUAAUAUUCUUUAUAGUGUUUUUAAAAUUUCUGCACAAAUCUGUCCGAACAUGGAAAAAUGAUGUCUGAAGAUCUGAUGGUGGUUCUUAAACAACUUCUCAAGAGUAAGUACGACAUGCAAUAAAGACCCAUUUGGGCUCUCCCAUUAAUUGGGUCCAGAUAACUUGCUAUAAUAUAGCAAGCCCAGAUAGGUUUGUGUUGAUGGCUAGAAUUGCUUCCUUGGCCCAGUUGGCUAUGAUUCUAGGCCCAAUAAGCAAAUGGACUCCUUUCACGAAAGGGGGAACCUAUGUGCCUUUUGAUUUAAACUUUGUCAAGGUUGUGAAUUUGGUUUAUUUUCAAGUAGUAUCAUAGUAUAUACCGCUUGUUGAAAAUGUCGCGUUUAGGAAAAGGAUGGUUUUCUCUUCACCGGUGGAAUACUUUAAAAUGUGUUGAUUUAUUAGGAACUAAAUUCUAAUAAUUAAAGCAUUAUUAUUAUUAUUAUUUUAAUUUUUUAAUUUGCACGGUUUCUCACCUACUUUAUAUUUAUAAUUAGAUUUGAAAAAAUUCAUUUAUAAAUUAUUUCAUGUUUUAUGUUCUUAGGAGGUAAUUUUAGAUAAUAUUUUUUAAUUAUUUUCUAUUAUUUAUUUAUGACUGUUUUAAAAAAUAAUUAUAUAAAUAUGUGAAAUAAUUAAAAAAAAUAUUAUAUAUAAAAAUUAUUUUUAAAACAUAAUUAAAAAUAUUUUAAAUUUUUAAACAAAUUUUUAUUCUAUAAAAAUUAAAAAAUAAUUUUCAAAAAUGUUCCCUUAUUUUAUUACCUCAAAAUGACAUAAUUUAGAAUAAUUACGUCAAAUAUUUUUGUUUGAAAUAAUUUCUUCAAAAUAACCCUCCUUUUGUUUGAUUACUUUUUGCUUAUUAAUAUCAUACAAUUGUUGAAUUUCUAACUGCAAGUCUUUUUUCCUUUCCUUCGACACGUAAUAGCAAUGCAUCAUGUAAGAUGUAGCAAAAUAAAAAUAAAGAUGAUUAUUUUGUGCUUGUUAAAUUUUUUAUAAACCAUCUAUUUAUGAUAAAUAUUUAAUAUGUAAAGAUUAUUCUAGAAUUAUCAUAAAAAAAUUAAUUGUCUUUAUUAAAACGAAAAUUAUCAUAUAGUUUAACAUUAAUAUAAAAAAUAUUGAAUCAAUAAAUAAUUUAAAUAUAGAUUAUAUAAAAUUUUAAAAUUAAAGUAUUUAUUAAAUUUGUGAAAUCGAAACCGGAGCAUUGAUUGAAAAUUGGACCGGCCCAUGUGCAGCCUCUAACAAUUCGAGUUAGAAAUCAGCCCAGUUUCAGCCCAAAUGUUCAAAAUUAGGCCGCCCCAUGGAGCCCAUAACUUCCCCAAUGAACGUAGUCCCAGUCCGAUCGGCAUUUGUCACUUGUCCAGGGCUCUGCGUUUCAGCACUCAAUCGUCCCCUUCUCCAAACGCUGCGUCUCACGCCGCGUAUCGGUCGAUCUCUCGGUUCAAGGUACUGUUCCAAUUUAUUUUCCCAAUUCAAUCAGUCAAUCGAUUUCUGCGUUAUAUGCAAUCGUUUGGGUGCUGAGAAAAUGAAAGAAAAUUUUGAAUCGCAAAAUUUUCAUCAUCCAGGGUUCGAGAAUACUGAAAUUUGCAUUUUACCUGUAACUUAUAAUACACUUUGGCUUGAAUUUUUUAAUUAUUUGAUUUUUUUUUUUCGGAUUUUUGGCAGCAAAGAGAGUGAGAGAGAUAACAUAGUAAACAAAAUGUGGUAUAUUUGUAAGCAAAGAUACCAUGCUUACAAAUGUCUCUCUUCAUGAUGGUAGUGCACUGGUGCUGUUUGGUUAUCCAAAUAACAGUAAAUUAGAUUUGCACGAUAUACAAAUCACGCGCUUUUAGAGAGGGGAAUCUUUGUGUCACAUCACAAUAUAACCAUCUUAUCUUACCCACUUUGUUAUCCAUCGACACGUGUUGUACUAUCGGACUUGAAAUAUGUUUAAAACGUUUUUGAUUUUGACAAUAAAAAACACACAAAAAAAAAAAAAAAAAAAAAAAGAAAGUUUGAUAAGGAGUUGAGAAAAAAAACAAUUCCCUUUUUAGAACUAAAAAAAAUAAGGGAACGUUUUUUAAAAUUAUUUUUUAAUUUUUAUAGAAUAAAAAUUUGUUUAAAAAUUUAAAAUAUUUUUAAUUAUGUUUUAAAAAUAAUUUUUAUGUAUAAUAUUUCUUUUAAUUAUUUCACAUAUUUAUAUAAUUAUUUUUUAAAACAGUCAUAAAUAAAUAAUAGAAAAUAAUUAAAAAAAUAUUAUCUAAAAUUACCUCCUAAGAACAUAAAACAUGAAAUAAUUUUUUGUUGUCAAAUAUGAUUUUUUUUUUUUAAUAUUUUGUUUAAAAGUAUAGAAAUUAUUCUAAAAAAUAGUUAUCAAAUAAGUCCUAAGAUAUUUUUUAAAAACAUCACUUGUUUUUUAGGACCAUUUUAUAAAAUAAUUAUAUAAAUAUAAAAAAAUAAUAAAAAUAAAAAUAUUAUAGAUAAAAUUUAUUUAUAAAACAUUAAAAAUAUUUUAAAUUCUCAAAUAAAUUUUUAUUUUACAAAACAUCAUACAAUAGUUUUUAAAAAUUAUUUUUAUUUUUUGAAAGAAUUUACCAAUCUUUAUAAUUUUCAAAGAAUUAAUUUUAUUCCUUGAUAUAUAAAUAUACUAAAUCAUCAUUAAUUUUAAAUUUCAUACCCUUAUAAAUAUAACUUUUUCUUAUAAAGUUUAAUUAAUAAAUUUUAUUUUCUAAAAAAUAAAUUUAAUAGACAAAAUGCAUAUAAAAAGUUACUUGUGCUUUACUGUUAUUUGUCUCGCUCACUUAUACUGGUCCACUUUUUAAUUUGCUGCAUUUCUUCCUUGCUAGGAGGCUGCUUACUGCGUAUUAUUGGUAAGGCUACCAAAUUCCACUACUAAUUUUCCAUGAAGUAAUAUUAUAAAGAGUUGAUAUGAAAAUUCUUGGAAUUCUUUCAUUCAAAGGAUGUUCAGUGAUCUCUAAAUUAAAUUUGCUUUGUUUGACCGUACAAAUUAAUUUGAAUGUGAAUUCAAUUUUUAAAUUUGUAAAUUCAAAUUCUGCUUCAAAAUUGAUUUUAUAUAUUGACUAGGAUGAACUUAAUUUAAGUGUAAUUCAACUCCACUAACAUCUAAAGAAGUCAAAAUAAUUGAAUUGAAAUUGGGGUCUUAUUAUCCAAGGCCCCAGUCCUAUGCAUUCAACAACAUAUUAUUUUUUUCUGCCACUCAAUCCACUAGUAAUUGCAUCAAAUUGCUCCCCAAGCAACAAUACGCUAUAAAAGCUUGGUGAAAAAUCUGUUUUAGGUGAAUUAAGUGAUUGUUAAAGUAGUUGCUUCACUUGGCUCUCUAACAACACUACCACUUUUUUUACUUGGUACGAAGGUAGAAUGUAUUUUUCCUACCACUUGUAUAUGAUGGAUUUAACUUUAUUUGUGAUAUCUUAUUUCUUUUUUUAAAAUAUUCAUUGCUUUGACAAUUGAUUUGUGUUUAGUCAUAGGAAGAACUCUACUUAGGAUAUUGUGCCUAUUUGCCUAUUUGGUUUACAAGUUCCAUAAGAGACAUCUAUAAUCAUAUGAUAGCAUUGAAGAAUUCCUACGGAGUCACAAAAAUCUUCAACCUAUCAAGUACUCAUAUUCAGAUAUAAAGAAGAUGACUUAUAACUUUGCGAAUAAAUUAGGUCAAGGAGGCUUUGACUCUAUAUAUAAAAGAAAACUUCGAAGUGGUCGCAUUGUAGCUGUAAAAGUGUUGAUGAUGUCAAAAGCUAAUGGACAAGAUUUCAUCAAUGAAGUUGCUACAAUAGGAAGGAUUCAUCAUGUUAAUAUGGUGAGACUUGUUGGAUUUUGUGUACAAGGAUCAAAAUGGGCACUUAUAUAUGAUUACAUGCCCAAUGGCUCUCUUGAUAAGUUUAUUUUUCUUAAAGAAGAAAAUAACACUCUUUUGAGCUUGGAAAGGUUGUAUAAGAUUGCACUUGGAGUGGGGCGUGGGAUUAAAUACUUACAUCAAGAUUGUGAUAUGCAAAUUCUACAUUUUGAUAUCAAGCCACACAAUAUUCUUCUUAAUGAAAACUUUACACCAAAAGUUUCAGAUUUUGGUUUUGCCAAAUUGUAUUCGACAAAUGAAAGUAUAGUAUCUCUCACUGCUGCACGAGGAACAUUGGGAUAUAUUGCUCCAGAAUUGUUCUAUAAAAACAUUGGAGGUGUCUCAUACAAAUUAAGAUGAUAUUUAUAGUUUUGGAAUGUUAUUGUUGGAAAUGGUAGGAAGAAAAAAGAAUGUGAAUGCAAAUGCAGAGCACUCGAGUCAAAUAUAUUUUCCAUCAUGGAUUUACGACAAAUAUGAUCAAGGAGAGAAUAUAGACUUGGAAGAUGCUACUGAAGAUGAAAAUAAGUUUGUAAAGAAAAUGGUUAUAGUUGCACUAUGGUGUAUAUAGAUGAAGUCGAUAGACUCCCCUUCAAUGAGCAAAGCCUUGGAGAUGUUGGAAGGAAAGGUUGAGUUGUUAGAAAUGCCUCCUAAGCCUACUCUAUAUUAUGAAGAAAUCUAAAUUGAGGAUCAUAUCAACAAUCCAAUAGGAGCAUCAAUUUCCUUGCACAAUUCCAUGGAUAUGUAGCAUUUUACCUACUUGCAUUCUCUCUUGUGAUAUCAUAUGUUUGUAAUUUGGCAUAGAUGUAUGCAUGGGCUGUAACUCCUCCUGCAAGGUCCAAUAUAUAAUGUAGUAUUGUCUUGAGGCACUAACAUGUAAUAUUUUUCCCAAGCCCCUCCAUUGGAUCUCUCAUUUUGUUUUUAUGUCUCCAUGUGGUACACUACCUAGGUCAUCAUUGGAGAUAAGACAACCUAAAGGAUCCCCUUAUAUAAAAAGAAUGAACCGGUAAAACCUUAUGUGGUCAAAUUAUCAAAUUCAAAUGAUUUAAAAUUAUCAUAGAUUCCUAUAAUAUAUUUAUAUUAAUUUAUUAAAAAAAUUAAAAAUACCCUAUAAAAUUAUUAAUUUUAUUAAAGUAUUUUUAUUGCAUUUUGAUAGAAAAAUUAAGUCAUUCAAGAUUUUAAAUAAUUUUUCAUAUAAAAUAUUUUAUUUGAAAGUUUCAUUAACAAAUUGGUGUGAUCAUUUUUGGUGUGAAUAUAUUAUUUUACUUUUUGCUGGCGUAACUAUAGAGACAUGAAGGCCCACAAAGGUUCCAAUACAGAAAUAUUAAGCAUUUUUAAAUACUGGCAAGAGUGUCUCAACCUCCACAUCAUGGUUUUAGUGCAUUUUUUAAGGGAAUAACGUCUGAAUAUUGAGCUAUCUUUCCUGCUCGUGUAUGUCGUACCUCAUGCAGAGAUACAAAAAGGGUAGGAGGGGUGGAGAGUGUAUGGAAAUGGUUAGGAGUUUUUCAUUGAUGAAAACCUUUUUCAGUUGAUUUGUUUUAGAAAAUAAAUGAUGGGGAAAUAGGGGAAAUUAAUUUCUUAGAAAAAUUGAGAGAAGAGAUGAAAAAAAAAUGAAGAAAAAAAAAUAGAUUUAAAGUUAAUGAAUUCUAUUUAUGUGUUACUUCAAAUUAAUUUUACAUAUUUUUUUUUAUGUAAUGAUUAAAUAACUUAAAAUUAUAUAAUAAUUUUUAAAUUAAUUUUAAUUAUAUUUGAUUUUCUUCAUAUAUUUUUUUAUAAUGAAAUCAAAUAUAAGAAAAUUGUUUUCCUUAAACAUUAUUUGAUUAUAGGAAGAUCGGGAUUUAAGCUUUGAAUAUAAUUUUUGAUAAAUUUAACUUAAUUCCCCACUAUCCUUUUCCUACAAAGCUUUACAUUUAAAAAAGGCCUCAAUAUGACCCAUCAUCAAAGAUAGUGCUUCAUUUUUCAAUUUGGUGGCCUUUAUGGUAAGUGAAGAAAGACAACCAAAAAAAUUUCAUUCUCCCUUUCAGGAAAUACAUUACCUACUUUUCCAUAAAGAUGAAGCUUAGUUGAGAAAGUCAUGACCUCUUCCCAUAUCUAGCCCAUUCCACAUUGAUCAUUGCAAAAGAAUUUAAAGUGUGUCAAAUGCAAGGAAAAACCUUCAAAAGAAUUGACUUAUUGGAUAUGAAGAUAGGAACUUGCAGCAGCGUAAAGAAGAAGAAGAAGAAGAAAAAAAAAAUAUGAUAAUUUAUAGUUUUCAUUAUUACCUUAAUAAUUUUCAAUAAUUUUUUUCAAAAGAACUAAGAAAAUGUCCCAAAGUUUUUUUCAUUAUUAUAUAAAUAAUUUUUCAUAUAUUAUCAAAGAAUAAGGGAUAAACUCUCAUUUUAUUUUAAUAGCUAAAUAAAAUAAAAUUUAUCAAAAAAUUAUCUAAGUGGUUUAACUAUUAGUCAUUGGUAUCAAUUAUUUUUUUCUAAGUUUAUUUUAAUUUAGUUUAAUUCUUUAGAAUUUAUAUUUUAAUUUUGUGUCACUUUUUCAUUGAAGAAGUGUAUGUUUUGUUUGGUAUAUCUCCAAGUAAUUUUUUUUAAAGAAUAAACAGGAAGAAAAAUAGAUAAAUAAACUUAUAAUAAAAUAAGUUUAAGUAAAGAUUUUAUAGAUGAUAAAGAAGAAUUAAUUUAUCAAAUAAAAUUAGAAAUACUGAAAUAGUGGGAAAAAAAUUUAAUAACAAAAAUAGUUAUAAUGAUUGAUAUGAUUAUAGUAUAAUUAAUUACUAUAAACAUUAAAAAAAAAUUAUAAAAGCACAAAAUAAGGAAAAUAAAUAUCUUAUUGGGCUGCCAUGAUCAAAUUAUGUCCCGUAUACUAAUAGAAAGUUGGUAUCAAACUCCGUAUCAAGCCCAACCCAGCCUGAGUAGCACAUGAUCCAAGCUCCGCCUAUGGACCUUCCAUUGGGCUUGGCCCAAUCAAAUAGAGUAGAUUGUUCCAUUGAUUUGAUGUUCUGGCCUAAAUGCAAUUGAUCUUAAACACAUGGAGGAACCCUCAAACCCCUCGGCUAAGACAAGCUUGUUUGCAUCAACGUCCUAAGCCACUGGACUUUUUAUUGUUUGGGUUAAACAAUAUAUACCAUAUAUUGAAAGAGUUUGAGUCCAUUAUUAUUAUUAUUAUUAUUAUUAUUAUUAUUAUUAUUAUUAUUAGAGUCCAUUUUUUUUAUCUUCUCAUUGGUUAAUUUCUCCCACAAUUUAAUAUUUUUCAUGGUCUACUGUACACAUGAUCCAUUCGUAAUUUGUAUUGGCUAAAUAUCUCAUUUUAAAUAACCACUAAAUAAAUUUUCUUAGCAUUAAAAAGAGGUUGAUCCUUUGCCUUCCGAGGAUAAUCCAUUCGCAUUAGAAAUGUGAUAGGCGUAAGGAGAUGACCAACCCUCCCCAAAAAUUUCAAUAUUAAUGAAUUUUGUCUUUGGUAAUGCAUCCGUAUGAGACCUUUCUAAAGGUAAAGCCACUUGGUUUGUAAGGAAAGGAUGGUAGAGAAUUAAGCUUAAUUUUUUAAAAAUUGUAGUCAUAAAUUAAAGGCCAAGUUUUUAUUUGAAAACUCUUGCUUGCUUCUUAGUGCAAAGCAAAAGAUUAUAUACUUUAUCGAGUUAUUGGGUAAUAUGAUCUAGCUCAAGGAGCAACUUAAUUUAGUCAAUACAUAACUAAUUCGUGUUACUUCUCAAUCCAAUAAAAAAGUGGUAAAGGCAAAAAAGAAAAAAAAAAGAAAAAACAAAAGAAACUCUAUAUAGGCAUAGUGGAUGAGACUCUUAUUUUCAAGUUCCCUAUAUCUAUUCUAUUGCUAUUUUGUGCAAUACUCUCUAUCUUGAAUGUGAUGGACAUUAGUUACUCUUACUUGAUUGAAAGGUAAUCUCUAGAGUUGUGUAGCUAAACUAUAAAUUGGGUUGUGAGAAUAUUCUUGGACAUAUUCAUUAAAUUAUCAUACAUGAGAAAUACAUUACAUGGGAACAAGAACUUCUAGAAUCUAACAUCAAAUGAGCAAUUGGUAUAAUGAUUGUGUACAAUCAUUUGUUCAAUUAACAGAAAUAUAAAUAAAAAUGCUAUGAUGAUGAACAACUACAAUAUGAAUUUGUAUCAAAUUUACACAUUCAUGAUAAUUUGAACAUAUAGACAAUUAUUUUACUCUACUUCUGAAAUGAUUGCCAACUCUUGUUGAAAAGCACUUCUUGGCUUGCUCAAGUUUGUCUUUGUUGGAGUUGUUGAAGCAAAAGGAUUAGGAGGUAUGGUUAACUUGCCUCCUUUUCCUUCCAACAUUUGAACUACAAUUUUCAUGGAAGGUCGAUCCAUUGGAUACCAUUGAAUACAUGAGAGUCCCACAAUUGCUAAUUUCUUUGCAAUCUCAACAUCUCCUUUUUCUUCAAUCCGAAUAUACAAUUCUUCCCCUAUAUCCAAAUGAUUAUAAAUCCAUUCUGGGAAGUAUACUUGGCUAGUACUCUCCACACUAACAUCAAUGUUCUUCCUCUCUCCAACCAUUUCAAGUAACAACAUUCCAAAACUAUAAACAUCUGACUUAUAAGACACAUUCCCAAAAUUCCUAGACAACACUUCUGGAGCAAUGUAGCCUAUUGUUCCCCUUGCAACUGUCAUAGAAACUGCACUUUGUUCCUUAGAGCACAAUUUGGCUAAACCAAAGUCAGAAAUCUUUGGAUUAAAAUUGUGAUCAAGUAAAAUAUUAUGAGGUUUGAUAUCAAAAUGGAGGAUUCUUUGAUCACAACCUUGAUGAAGAUACUCAAUUCCUUUCGCUAUACCUAUAGCAAUUUCUUGAAGUUUCUUCCAACUAAGUGAAUAGUUCUUAACAACUCUUGAAAAUAUGAACUUCUCUAAUGACUCAUUUGGUAAGUACUCAUAAAUUAGAGCUCGUUUAAAUCUAUCAGCACAAAAUCCAACUAAGCGAACUAUAUUAACAUGGUGGAUUGUACCCAUUGUUGCCACUUCAUUAAUGAACUCUUCCCCAUUUCCCUGAGAAUUAUUAAGGAUUUUUACUGCAACAAAAACUUCAUUUGAAAGCUUUCCCUUGUACACGGUUCCAUAACCUUCUUGGCCUAAUGUAUCUUUGAAUUGAUUUCUAAUCCUUUUAAUAUCAGCAUAGGAGUAUCUUGAGGGCUUGAGAGCUUCAUAGUAUUCCAGAAACCUUUUAACCUUUAUUCUAUUCUCUCUUUCUGAUUUAUUUGAGCUAUAGAGACGAUAAAACAUAGCAAUUACUAACAUAAGUAGAAAGAAAUCAAAGAUUGUGCCUGCGUACAUAAAAAAAAGAAAACUUAAACUUUUUUUAUUUAAAUAAAUAGAUAGAAUAACCAAGUUAAGAAUCCUUAUUUCUAUAAUAAAAAUGCAUAAAUAAAAUAUUACCUGUUACCAUUGUUUGCUUUGAUACACCUGUAAAAUAUUAAAAAAUAAUAAUAAUUAGCUUGUUGUGCUCUUGGAAUUAACAAAAUCAUGCUAAAUUACAUGCAUAUGAUAUGAUUUUAAUUUAAUUUUAUUCUAGGCUUCAACCCUAUCUUUUUGGGUCUCUUUCUUGUACUCUACAUGUUCAUUUUUUAGCUAGUACCAAUUCUACUGGUGACUCCAUUCCAACUUGUAGUUAAAACUUACCCUUCUAAUCUUUAUUAUGCAUCUUAGUUAGACUAUUAUGUUUCAUAAUAACCUACUGUCAUAAUGAAGCCCUCAACACUAAUUCACCCUAUUUUAUUACAAAAACUAAAAUAAAAAUAAAACUCUAUCUCAAACAAAUCUCUAUCCUUAUCCUAUGACAUUAUAUAUAGUGAGAUUCCAAUUGGUGAAUUGACACUUGGCAAUUUGAUUGACCAUUAACAUAUAACUUCUCAUGUUAGAUAAGAGGGCAAAGGUAUCCAUGCAUGUGGAUACCCAUUAAAAUUAGGAAAAUGAUAUUUAUGAAAUUUUUCACACAACUAUGAUUAUUGGGAGUUGCAACAAAGAUGGAUUACCUGGGAGGUUAGUAUUCUCUACUUGGAUAUGAAACAAUAAAUGAGAAAAUCAUCUAUUUUAAACAAUCUUUAGUAAUUUUCUUUUAGUUCCUUAAACAUCUCCAAAAUCCAAAAUGAAUACUUGAAUAUCAAUUAUAUUACUUUGCAUUUUUACAUUCACAUCCUUGGAAAAGUAUGGAGAAACGAAAAAAAAAUGUACUUAUCAUAAGUAGUUAGAAAAGAUUCCAUUACAAAAGAACUUUUAACAUUGUUGUUAUAUUUC